GACAGAGGUGCCGAGCGUUAGGCGGAAUCACUGGGCUUAAAGCGUGUGUAGGCGGGUCGUUAAGUGCCUUGUGAAAUCCCACCGCUCACCGGUGGAACUGCUUGGCAUACUGGCGAUCUUGAGCCACUUAGGGGCAACCGGAACAAACGGUGGAGCGGUGAAAUGCGUAGAUAUCGGGAGGAACACCAGUGGCGAAGGCGGCUGUCUGGGCCAGUUCUGACGCUGAGGCGCGAAAGCGUGGGGAGCGAACCGG
rnacentral:rRNA from 1 species